CUGAGGACAGGACAUAGUUGAAGGGCUUUCCUUCUGUCAUUUAUUUAUUCUAACUCGAUCGUCCUUUAGUUUCUAUCACUAACUAUUCCAGUCACCUGUGAACUCCAGCAUGAACCACUGUGUUCUCAGAGCGAACCGCUGCCCAAGGACCACGCUGUCCACUCAUGUAGCUGUCAGUGGCAGCCAUUUUGAAUUCUUUGUCUUAGGAAACUGCGUUUACAGUGACUGCAGUUAAGGAGCAGAUUUCAGCAGAUUCUUAGCCUAAGCCUAAACACAGUGACACGAGUCCUGAACCUGUAUUACUCCUGAGCUUGUAGCAACUGCAAACUUGCUCCUCUAGUUUACACAAGAAACUCCUGGAACAAGCUCAGAAUGAAACGCCUGGUGGAUCAUCUUCUCGUCGGGUCUUAGUUCU